UACGUAGGUGGCGAGCGUUGUCCGGAUUUACUGGGCGUAAAGCGCGCGUAGGCGGCCCCCGAAGUCUGGGGUGAAAUCUCUCGGCCUAACCGGGAGGGGUCUUCAGAUACUGGGGGGCUUGAGGGCAGCAGAGGCCGGUGGAAUUCCCGGUGGAGUGGUGAAAUGCGUAGAGAUCGGGAGGAACACCAGUGGCGAAGGCGGCCGGCUGGGCUGACCCUGACGCUGAGGUGCGAAAGCGUGGGGAGCGAACCGG
rnacentral:rRNA from 1 species